CAGUAGCCGCGGUAAUACGUAGGUGGCAAGCGUUGUCCGGAAUUAUUGGGCGUAGAGGGCUCGCAGGCGGUUUCUUAAGUCUGAUGUGAAAGCCCCCGGCUCAAUCGGGGAGGGUCAUUGGAAACUGGGAAACUUGAGUGCAGAAGAGGAGAGUGGAAUUCCACGUGUAGCGGUGAAAUGCGUAGAGAUGUGGAGGAACACCAGUGGCGAAGGCGACUCUCUGGUCUGUAACUGACGCUGAGGAGCGAAAGCGUGGGGAGCGAACAGGAUUAGAUACCCCUGUAGUCCCUGUCUCUUAUAC
rnacentral:rRNA from 1 species